AGAAAUGGAAUAAGCUCUAUAACCCUUUGUGACAUACCUAUAACUGUUGCUUCGGCGGGUAGGGUCUCCGUGACCCUCCCGGCCUCCCGCCCCCGGGCGGGUCGGCGCCCGCCGGAGGAUAACCAAACUCUGAUUUAACGACGUUUCUUCUGAGUGGUACAAGCAAAUAAUCAAAACUUUUAACAACGGAUCUCUUGGUUCUGGCAUCGAUGAAGAACGCAGCGAAAUGCGAUAAGUAAUGUGAAUUGCAGAAUUCAGUGAAUCAUCGAAUCUUUGAACGCACAUUGCGCCCGCCAGCAUUCUGGCGGGCAUGCCUGUUCGAGCGUCAUUUCAACCCUCAAGCUCUGCUUGGUGUUGGGGCCCUACAGCUGAUGUAGGCCCUCAAAGGUAGUGGCGGACCCUCCCGGAGCCUCCUUUGCGUAGUAACUUUACGUCUCGCACUGGGAUCCGGAGGGACUCUUGCCGUAAAACCCCCAAUUUUCCAAAGGUUGACCUCGGAUCAGGUAGGAAUACCCGCUGAACUUAAGCAUAUCAAAAGGCCGGAGGAA
rnacentral:rRNA from 1 species